ACCGCACACAAAACCGUUACUGCUUUCCCGCUCUAUUCCCUGGCGGCCAACUAAUUUUGCGGAAGAAUCUCCCGGGUGAGGAUAGGGUAGAUGGAUAUUUCCUGUCAGUGACGUGUCUAAAUGUCUAAGUGGUUCGAGGAGAAUUACCUAUAUAAGAUUUAGGAAAAUCUUGGGUUAAUUAACCUCGCGACUCACUGUUCCCUAGGCCAGAGCUCUAACCUAACUCGCGCACGCGUGGUUAAGGUUCACACGCGGGAUGGACUUUGCGAUACUUAAGACUUCCUAUUUUUUUAUAUAAAUAUCUCACUAAUCACCUUUUUUUUAUUUUAUAAAUAUUUCUUUUUUUUUUUCUUA